CCAGUCUUGCUUGCACACUUAAUGAAACUUCAAGUCACAGCUGAAGAUUAUGCCUGGUCAUUACUUACAAAUGCCUUCUCCAGGGUUCUUUCCAACGAAGACUGGGUAGUACUGUGGGACCACAUCUUCUCCAACCCGCCUUCAUUCCUGCCCUGUGCCGCUGCUGCAUUUACAAUCAAGUCACGCCACACCCUCUUGACCUGUGAAGAUGCCCAGGACGUGAAGACCUAUUACAGUCAAGAAGC